rnacentral:tmRNA from 1 species
GGGGGCGACAGGCUUCGACGGGUAUGGCGAGGAUGUCGUGGCGUGCCCAGGUCUCGGUUCCUGGUAAAACCGCUGAGAAACGUUACAACUGCCAAUUCAAACCUGGCACUGGCUGCGUAAGCUUCGGCUUCACGCACCUGCGUGAGUGGCAGCCCGCCUGAGGCGGCGCUCACGUAUCGCAAAGUCGGGCUGGCGUGAUCUGGGGCCCGAACGGGUCACGCGAGAGCUGGUAAGGGCUCGUCGCAUCCGAGGCCGGCGAGGCGCCGAGGACGCGAGACCUCUCAAGCGUCGCCUACGCACGUAGAAGCGCGUUCGGAGUCACGCUCGGACCGGGGUUCGAUUCCCCGCGCCUCCACUA